AGCCCAUCUUAAUUAACAUGCCCGUGGAUUAGUGGCUUAAGCCCAUGCAAUGUAUAAAGAAUUGUUUAAUUGGCUUUCGAUAGAAAAUGAGAUGCGCACGUCAUCGGGCCUGCAUGAGUCAGUUAACCAGGCUAAUCAGAGUUACGGAAAGCCAGUCGAUGGGAAAGGUAAUUUGGCCUGCAUCAAACUAAACUCGGUCAAAAUCUCCUGCUGCCCACGAUCCCCAGCUGGCCAUGCUGCAAGCCUUCAAUUGUUUAAGAUAAUAAAGAGAAAAGGGAUAACUAAAAGGAAAGAUCCCAGUGCAUGCGACCAGGUCUAUGGCUAGAAAACUUGGAGCCUGCUCCAAGCUGCAACGGCCAGCGCCGACGUCCGUGAGAAGCCCCGCACGAUGGCAAGAACGCAACGUGAAGCUUGUCAACUAACCAUCACGAUCACAAGACCAUCGGCCAGAGGAAGGCGCCCGGUAGAAAUCAUAUUAAAGAGAGGAAAACUCUGCUGCUCUCCAACGCCGGCAGAAAUCCAUCGCAAAGCCAAAACGCUGCCAUCGCGGCUAUCUCCAUUGAUCUCCCCGGCCAGAAAAACAAUCGAAGAGGCAAAACACUAGCUGCUCAACAUGCGCCCAAUCACUAGAAGCUUGCCGCGCUAGCUAGCCUGCCGCGCUUGCUUGCCGGAAGACCGACUAUAAACAUCUGAAAUAUAUCAACGUCUUCAAGAAAGGUGAGAAGGUAGGAAAUCAUGGCAUCACUCUGCCCUUAGUCUCGGCCGUUUGGUUCGAGUCAAAGAACACCCUCCUUCCCAUGUGUGUCCUUAGUUUCGGCCUAUUGGUUCGGAUCAAGGAAUAUAUAUUUUUAUUUUUUUUGUAUGACACCAUGCCCUUAGGUUCGGCCCGUUGGUUCGGAUCAAGGAAAUUUGCAUAACCCCCAUGUCAUCAUGCUCUUCGUUUCGGCCCUCGCGGUUCGGAAUAAGAAUCAUAUAUUUUGCAUACCUUCGUUUUCGCAUUCACGGUUCAGAACAAGGAUCGUAUAUCUUGCAUGUCUUCGUUUUGGCCUUCGCGGUUCAUAACAAGGAUCAUAUAUCUUGCAUGUCUUCGUUUUGGCCUUCACGGUUCAGAACAAGGAUCAUAUAUCUUGCACACCAUCGUUUUGGCCUUCGUGGUUCAGGACAAGGAUCGUAUAUCUUGCACACCUUCGUUUUGGCCUUCGUGGUUCACGACAAGGAUCGUAUAUUUUGCAUACCUUCGUUUGGCCUUCGCAGUUCCGAACAAGGAUAAUGUUCGAGGAAACACCUAAAAUUAAUAUGUUAACAAAAAUCUUAAUAUCCGCUCUACGCAUGGGUUCUUCA
rnacentral:lncRNA from 1 species